GAUGAACGCUGGCGGCGUGCCUAAUACAUGCAAGUCGAGCGAACAGACGAGGAGCUUUCUCCCCUGACGUUAGCGGCGGACGGGCGAGUAACACGUGGAUAACCUACCUAUAAGACUGGGAUAACUUCGGGAAACCGCAGCUAAUACCGGAUCAUACAUUGAACCGCAUGGUUCAAUAGUUCAUGACGGUUUUGCUGUCACUUUUAGAUGGAUCCGCGCCGCAUUAGCUAGUUGGUAAGGUAACGGCUUACCAAGGCUACGAUGCGUAGCCGACCUGAGAGGGUGAUCGGCCACACUGGAACUGAGACACGGUCCAGACUCCUACGGGAGGCAGCAGUAGGGAAUAUUGCACAAUGGGCGAAAGCCUGACGGAGCAACGCCGCGUGAGUGAUGAAGGUCUUCGGAUCGUAAAGCCCUGUUGUUGGGAAAGAAAAAAAGUGGAAGAAAAUCUGCACGUCUUGACGGUACCUAAACAGAAAGCAACGGCUAACUACGUG
rnacentral:rRNA from 1 species